CGGUGAGUGCUUUGGGGUGGGGUGACUGCGUACCUUUUGUAUAAUGGGUCAGCGACUUAUAUUCUGUAGCAAGGUUAACCGUAUAGGGGAGCCGAAGGGAAACCGAGUCUUAACUGGGCGUUAAGUUGCAGGGUAUAGACCCGAAACCCGGUGAUCUAGCCAUGGGCAGGUUGAAGGUUGGGUAACACUAACUGGAGGACCGAACCGACUAAUGUUGAAAAAUUAGCGGAUGACUUGUGGCUGGGGGUGAAAGGCCAAUCAAACCGGGAGAUAGCUGGUUCUCCCCGAAAGCUAUUUAGGUAGCGCCUCGUGAACUCAUCUUCGGGGGUAGAGCACUGUUUCGGCUAGGGGGUCAUCCCGACUUACCAACCCGAUGCAAACUGCGAAUACCGAAGAAUGUUAUCACGGGAGACACACGGCGGGUGCUAACGUCCGUCGUGAAGAGGGAAACAACCCAGACCGCCAGCUAAGGUCCCAAAGUCACAGUUAAGUGGGAAACGAUGUGGGAAGGCUCAGACAGCCAGGAUGUUGGCUUAGAAGCAGCCAUCAUUUAAAGAAAGCGUAAUAGCUCACUGGUCGAGUCGGCCUGCGCGGAAGAUGUAACGGGGCUAAACUGUGCACCGAAGCUGCGGCAGCGACGCUUAUGCGUUGUUGGGUAGGGGAGCGUUCUGUAAGCCUGCGAAGGUGUCCUGUGAGGGAUGCUGGAGGUAUCAGAAGUGCGAAUGCUGACAUAAGUAACGAUAA
rnacentral:rRNA from 1 species